GUGAGAAGAUUGGCCAGAGCUGCUUGAGAACCGCAGAUGGAAGGGGCUCCAGUGCGGAGGGAACUCUCUCAGCAUAUGUUGGAGCGCAAAGGGAAUUGAUGGACUGGCUCAGGCAUCAUUUGCAUUUUAGGGUUUCUCAUUUUCAAGACACUGAUGAUGAUAAUCCUGAGGCUUGUAGCCCACAGGAGAUUGAACCUUUGUUGACCACUGCAGUCUAAAAGAUUAUCAAGAAUCAAUACACCAGUUCAUCAGUAAGACUACAGACUGGCAAUGUUUUCUUGCCUGAACUUUGCUAAAGGUAAAUUGAUCAAAUGACGGAAGUAUUCAUCCUGGAGACGACAUGGUGAUCUGAAAGAUUGCUGCAAUUCGGGUGAUCCAUGAGAGAUUGCAGUGUUGUGGCCAAAUGCCUAUUUCACUUUCCAGUGUAGAAGCAAAGAUGUGAACCUUAAUGAUGCAAUUUUAUCUUCAGGCUCAGUGG